UGAUUAAAUAAAUAACUUAGAUAUAUUAUGGUUCAGUUUUAUUUUACUAUUUGGAUAUCUGAGUUUUCGGUUUGUUUUGGAAUAUAAUAAAGGAAUUUGUGCUUUCUUGAAAUGGAAAUGGUUUUCUACCCCUCGUGGUAGCGUUUUGAAAAGAUAAAAGUUCCUGUGUAGGGAACAGUUUUCAAAAGGUUUUCUGUGGAUUUUGUAUCUUAGUAUUUCAAAACCUGUUUCUGUGGUUGGAAACAUUUUAGCUGAUAGAUGUGGAUUUAUAUUUAAAUAGCGAAUGUAUAUUUGUGAAUAUGUGGUGAAUGGUGUAUGAAUGUAUAUCUGUGGUUGCUUGUAUAUUCAUCUGAUUGUGGUUGUUGUAUGAUUGAACUCUUGUACUUGUGCGACGCCGUACAAAUACAGGGGAGACUUUGUCCGUGUGAACAGUGAAACUCCUGUAUUUGUGGCGGAUCUGGCACACUCUGGGGUUAGAUUUUCAAAAAAAAAAAUUUCAGACGCUUUUCCGCUACCUUUUAAACUAAAAGGGACCCCGGGGCGUGACAGAUUAAAGUGGUAUCAGAGCCAAGUUACAACCAUAACCCCAUUCACAGACUGUUUUUGAAAAUAAAAAUAAACUGAACCAUUGGUUAGGUUGACCCUAGGAAGACCUACGAUGUAUAGGCACGUGAGUGCGGGGUUUUGGGCAUAUGCCCCGAUUUGAGUCGGUCGAGUCGGUUAUUCGGCUGACGGUGCUUUUGUGUUACAGAUGGCUCGUGGUAGACCUCCUCUUCGUGGUCGUGGCGGUGGAAGCGCCGCAGAGGGCUCUAUCAAUAGCCCUGGAGAGCAGGCCCCGAGAGGCAGGGGCAGGGGCAGAGGGGAGCAGAUCGGCCCAGAUCAGCAGGGCGAUACUCGUACCGAGCAGCUCGAGGCUGAGGUAGCAGCGAUGAGGGGUCAGAUGACAGCCCUCACUGGGGUGGUUCAGCAGCUUCAGCAGCUUUUACAGCAGCAUGCUGCAGCUGCUGUUCCCCCGGUACCACCCCCGACGCCGCCGGUUCCUGAGGCAGCUGCCCCUCCGGUCGCGCCUGCACAGACGGCCCCUCCGACCGUCCCGACGACGACGACGGCCUCCACGACAGUUCCCGCUGGGGGUGCUGAUACCCUAGCAGCGGAGGGCGCCCUUAUGCGGGCGAAGCUGAUCGAGUUCAGGAAGUUCGACUCGCCGAAAUACGCGGGAAAGAAGGAAGAGAAUGGAGUUCUCGAGCGCUUGCUGACCGACAUGGAGAAACUACUUGAGGACUUAUUCAUCGGUGAGCAGGACCGCGUCCCCUUGGCCGCCCACUUUCUGGACGGGGACGCAAGCUCUUGGUGGCGCCGACAUCUAUCGCUCAAACUGGGCAACGUUUUCCCAUCCUGGGGGUAGUUCCGGAGACUCCUCCACGAGCAAUUCUUUCGGGACAACUCAAAAUUGGAGCUGGAGCGUGAGCUGGAACGUCUUCAGCAUGGGAGCCGUACCGUAGCUGAGUACGAGCAGGAUUUCUCUCGCAUUGUGGAGCUGAUUCCCUUCGUCAUCCGAGACGAGCACCACAAGGCGAGAGUCUUCGCGAGGGGCUUGAGACACAACAUCAGGAUGCUGCUGGCUUCUCACGGCACGAUGACAUUUGACGAGUGCUUGGGCCGAGCCCUCGUCAUCUAGAGCGAGUCUACCGAGGUCCGAGCUGCAAAGGAGGCCUCGGAGCGAUCGGGGGACAGGAAGCGUUCCCAUUCAAAGACUGGUGGCGGCUCCUCUUCCAACAGUAACCGGCCACCAAAUCAUCCUCGCACUCAGCAGUUGACGAGGAGCGCACCUUCGCGUAGUCAGCGACAGGGAGGACGGUCGUGCGUCAUCUGCGGAAGAUCACACAGGGUGACAGACUGCCCGCAGAGGAGAGGCCACUGUUUUCGCUGUGGCCAGCAGGGCCAUCGACAGGCGCAGUGCCCGAUGAGUGGUGGACCGACGCAGAGUGCCGCCUCCUCCCCCGCAGCUACACGACAGACUCGGGCAGCCCCUGGGGCAGCUGCGUCUAAGCGCCCCUCUUCCUCGCGCCAAAAUGAGGGGGCGCGCCAGGCAUCUGGUGGACGGGUCUUCGCCCUGACUCAGCACGAAGGCAACAUUGGUGGCGAUGUCCUUGCAGGUAUUGUCACCCUCUCCAUCACUCGUGCUAGAGCUAUUUUCGAUAUUGGAGCAUCGCACUCAUUCAUUUCGCAUUUAUUUGCAUGUGAGCAUGGUAUUUCCUCGCGUCCACUAGACGUGCCGCUCCGUGUUGACACGCCCGGAGGUGAUCUAUUAGCUGAUCGGUGCAUCCUAUCUUAUCCUGUCGUCUUGGAUAAUCGAGGUUUUCUGGCGAACCUGGUGGUACUUCCGAUGAAGAAGUUCGACGUGGUGCUUGGGAUGGACUGGUUCACCAGGCACCGCGCUACUAUCGACUGCGAGCGGAGGACGGUGACAUUUAUUUGGCCCGGUGAAGAAGUAUUCGUCUAUCGAGCGUGUAAGAGCUCUUACUUCGCCGCGUCUAUCUCUUCUACGAGAGCUAAGAGGCUUCUAAAUGCCGGAUGUGUGGCCUAUUUGGCUUCCGUGGAUGCCACUGCCGAGCUGCACCAGCCUUAGAGGAGAUUCCAGUUGUCCGGGAUUUUCCGGAUGUAUUUCCAGCCGAACUUCCGGGAAUGCCCCCAGACCGAGAGAUCGAGUUCUUUAUUGAACUAGUUCCGGGCACAGCACCGAUUUCGAAGGCCCCCUAUCGCAUGGCCUUCGCUGAGUUGAAAGAACUGAAGGCUCAGCUCGAGGAUCUCUUGGAGAGAGGAUUUAUCCGACCCAGUGUGUCACCCUGGGGUGCCCCAGUUCUCUUCGUCAAAAAGAAGGACGGUAGUCUACGACUUUGCAUCGACUACAGGGAGCUCAACAAGGUCACCGUGAAGAACAAAUAUCCACUGCCCCGAAUUGAUGAUCUCUUCGAUCAGCUUCAGGGAUUGUCGGUAUUUUCAAAGAUCGAUCUACAGUCAGGGUACCAUCAGCUUAAGAUCCGGGCGGAAGACGUGCCGAAGACCGCUUUUCGAACUCGUUACGGCCACUACGAGUUCACGGUGAUGCCUUUCGGGCUUACUAAUGCCCCGGCAGCCUUCAUGGAUAUGAUGAACAGGGUCUUUCGGGCAUACUUGGAUCAGUUUGUCGUGGUAUUUAUUGACGAUAUCCUGAUCUACUCGCGGAGUGAUGAGGAGCACGAGGAUCAUCUCCGGCGAGUACUGCAGAUACUGCGAGAGCACAAGUUAUAUGCUAAGCUCAAGAAGUGCGAAUUCUGGCUUCGCGAGGUAUCUUUCUUGGGGCAUAUUGUGACUCCAUCGNGUUCCUCGCAAAGUGACACCUUGUAUAAAAUGGGCAUCUAGGGUUUCCCAUGACUUUUUGGCUGCCCACUUUCACCUAACUAACCCUAGCCGCCUCAGCACCACCCUGCCCAACCCGUGCGCACGUCCCGGCCGCCGACGAGCUGCUCCGGCCGUCGGAAAAGCCACCUCGACCUCCUCUCUUGCUCUCUCGGCCACCCUCCCCUCCGACUUGGCCAUAGUUGCGAAGGAAGCUUCUUUCAUUCCUUGGAGCAUCAUCCCCUGGCCGACCGGCCACCCCCGAGCGCCGCCGGAGCCACCCCUGCUCCCUGCGGCCAGCUCGGGUCAGCCCAGACCGAGUCGGUUCGAACUAGGUGUCCACGCCUUAUCUCGGCCGCGCCGCCCUCCUGUCGGCCCCGGCGACCUCCGGCAGCCCGGUGCGCGCGUCCCCCGCCGUCCCAGCGCGCCGCCGGCCGCCGCUGCAACAUCCUACGGCCGCCUGGAACCAUGCGAGCUGAGGCCGAGUCCGUUCAGUUUCCAAGCGUCGCCGCCGCCCACCGAGGGGUGCACCGCCUUCCCCUUGGCCUCCGGCGCCGCACCGUAGCCGCCCCGACCUUCGCCGGCCGCUGCCGCGCCGCCGGGAAGUUUGAACCCGAGUGGGAGUGUGUGGACUCGAUCUCCGCCGCCGUGCCACCGGUUGCCGCCCGCCGCCGGCCAGCACCCUCCUCGGGCCUCUCGGACCGAGUGCUCCCUCCUCCGGCCGGACCGCCCGCCUCCCGGCCGCCGGCGACCAACCCUACCUCUCCUCAGGUCUGGUAAGGGUAUUUUAUGUUCCAGCACUAUUUUUCGAGGUUCCGGUCACUUGUCCGGUGAUCGAUAGCUCCUAGCUUCGGGAAGUGAGACGAUGAUCUACAUCAUGCGUGAACAUCAGUUGUCACCUCGACAGCGGCCAAAGAUGCCUGGCUUAGUGAGCUAGUCGCGAUCUUGACGCAUAGUUCCCGCGGCGGCAGUUUAACGAAUCUUCGCGAUCGCUAACAACCUGGCACCGCAGUGGACGGCAGUGUCGAAAGGAGCACGGCCUCCGAAUGCUGAACUAGUCAGCCCUGAGUGCGACGGUGGAUUAAAUCGAUCUGGUUUGUCUGCACGGUCAAAAGCUAGAAAUUCAAUUGGAAAAUGAUGCGAUUUCUGUAUCGGGUUUGGGCUUUUAGGAUUUCUGCUUCGUUGUAAUGCUGUGGCAGCAUGUUUGGCGGAUAACAGCUCUAGACUGAUGUCCAAGGCCCCAAGCCCUUGCGAAAAUUCAACAAGUAAUAUUCCGGAGGGUUAUUCGGGCGAAAAAUCGCGAAUUAGAACGCGCAUUGGUUUCGUGUUCGGAAUUCAGUGCCGACGGAUGCCUUCGUGGCGGAUUCUUGUAGUCGUCGCUGAGCAUGUUGGCUUGGUCACCGCGUCUUUUGAGGGUAUCGAAUACGUGUGUGCCGACGAUGAGUUACCGUUCGGUUUUCGGGACUCCGGUUAUUCGGUAACUCGGUUUUGGGAACCGGUCUGUUGGUUCUGUAAACGGGGGUUGUGAGUCAGCAUUACAUGUAGUGGGUUAGAUAUUAAACCCGUUGUACUUUCGGUAGGAUUAGGUCGUGCGUCUUCACAGGUCGAGAGACUUCGUUCGAUACGUACAGGGGUUACUUCGACCGGCGUCGUACAUGGUGCACGCUACGGUGGACGCUUCUUCACCCCUACUGUUAUACUCUAUUCUGACCAGUUAUAUUGAACCUUACACCUGAUUUAAUUUGCAUUCCUCUAUCAGUUAGUUCCAUGCUUUGAUAUAUGUUAGGAGUAGAGUUGACAUACGGGUAGUUCACUUAUCAAAUGAUAAUUUGGUUGAGCGGAAAAAUUCCCCUAUUUUGUAUCAUAAUGAGCUAUAUAAAGAGUCGAGUUGCUCCUUCAGGUUUAUCUUGACUUACGUAGCCGCUAGUGUUGCUGAUUACCUAUACGGUCAGUGUAGCCUGAGGGCUGGAAAUUAAUAGAGGCUGAAAUAUACGUUGCGAUGGAGAUCUAAUUUGAGAUUAUACAUGAUCGCCACUACAGGUACGUAUUUAUCACGAAAAAAAAUACAAAGACGAUCGAUUUCCACCGCAAAAAAGGAGGGUGUAUCUUUUACCGAAAAGUGGUUGGAUUAUGCUAACGUGAGCCCAAGAAGGCUAAAUUAUUUGCUGAGGUAUAUGCUUCUGACCAGGGCUUCAUUGCAGCAGGUCAGGUACUUAUGCUUCUUGACAAGCGGCUUCAUUGCGGGGUAGGUACAGGUUGAGCGUUGGGCGUUGGGCUGAGGUCUUGGCCAAUAGGGUCAGCGAGAUGGGUACUUUUGAGGUUAUUGUCAGUUGACACAUGCAUACAGUAGCUGUAGUGGUUUAAUUUCAGUCAUCACUUAUACAUUGGUAUUUAGUUGAAAAUAGUACUGUUUUAAUAAAUCAAUCACAAUACAUCUAUUACUUGUAGCUCCUGAGCUUAUCAGCAUCGUUCAUUACCAGUUUAUAUCUAUUCUAGUUCUUCGGGGACUGACGUGUGUACCCUCGGCCUUCUUCGGCUGCGGUACCAUGGAGGGAGACAUGUUUACAUGUUUCAACCCAAGAACCUUACAGUGAAUGUAGAUGGUCCGAGUGGACAAGCUGGUGAGGAACGGGCUAGGAUACGAUAGAGCUUUCCGUCCCGUGGUAGUUGGUUUAUUCUACAAUUAUCUUUAUGAUUAAAUAAAUAACUUAACUUAGACAUAUUAUGGUUCAGUUUUAUUUUACUAUUUGGAAAUCUGAGUUUUCGGUUGGUUUUGGAAUAUAAUAAAGGAAUUUGUGCUUUCUUGAAAUGGAAAUGGUUUUCUACCCCUCGUGGUAGCGUUUUGAAAAGAUAAAAGUUCCUGUGUAGGGAACAGUUUUCAAAAGGUUUUAUGUGGAUUUUGUAUCUUAGUAUUUCAAAACCUGUUUCUGUGGUUGGAAACAUUUUAACUGAUAGAUGUGGAUUUAUAUUUAAAUAGCGAAUGUAUAUUUGUGAAUUUGUGGUGAAUGGUGUAUGAAUGUAUAUCUGUGGUUGUUGUAUGAUUGAACUCUUGUACUUGUGCGACGCCGUGCAAAUACAGGGGAGACUCUGUCCGUGUGAACAGUGAAACUCCUGUAUUUGUGGCGGAUCUGGCACACUCUGGGGUUAGAUUUUCAAAAAAAAAAAAAAAAAAAAAA
rnacentral:lncRNA from 1 species